UCUUUAAUUCCUUUUAUUACUAAUAUUUACGUAUUUAUCGUUGUUUGUGUUACAUGGUUCUGGUGGGUCACUGGAUGCUGAAAUGGAGAAGCUCAUGGAUGAUUUGGUACCUUGUAAGGUUCGAGCAAAGCGUUGUUGUGCUACCCAUCCUCGCAGCAUUGCAGAGUUGGUUCGUUCAACGCGUAUAAGUGAUAGAAUUAGGAAGCUUCAGGAACUUGUGCCAACUAUGGACAAGGUAAGUUAUUUAUGGGAGAUCCUUUGUACAUAUUUUAAUGUUAUGCAUUAAUAGAAAUUUCAUGAGGGCUUUGAUUUGUGCUAAUUUGAGAAGUCUCAAUAAUUAGAGUUAUGUUGUUUCCUCAUUUUGUUACGCUCUCCAGGUUUUGACAUUUUGAUCAAUGAAUUUUAUUUUGAUCAAUGUAUUUGAUGGUUGUUGGAGAGAUUGCAGGAGGAGGGAGGUACUCAGUGAAUUGGAUAAAUGAAGCUUAUUUGGAUGAGAAUCUCAUGCCAUUUAAAUAUUCAGCUCAUUUUCCAUAUAUUGCAUCCUCUGCUUUAUUCUAUUUCCUAUAGGAUCUCUUCUAAUUGGUAAUUUCUACGCUUCAGAAUCAAACACACUGAAUUAUUGAAUGAUCCUUUUGACGAUCCUUCCCAAUUUGUCGACUUGAUUCAAGAUGCUGCACCUAAAGGAAAUCCAAAAGACGAGAUGAUCCACCUAGGGAUUCUGCAAAAGCUAUUUGGUGAACCCAACGAGAAACACACUACUUUGAAUUGAAUGAUCUAGCCUCUGUUGCAUUUGUCACUUUUGUGCGAAGAGGUAAAAAACGUACUAUGAUUGGAUGAGCUGCCUCAACAAUCUACUUCAUAUCUAGUUACUACGAGCAUUGCAGGGCGAAAAGCAAAUAUGCUACUGGAUAUACGGGAAGAUGGAAGGCAAUUGUGUCAUGGUUUAGUGCUGAGGCAACUAUCAUGAUGAAAUAUUUGCAUUUUUUCAAUUAUGCAUUAGAUAUUUGAGUGUACCACUGACUUUGAUCUUUUUUUUUUUUUUUUUGAGGUAUUUUCCAGGGGAUUCGAACCCAACUUCUUCGGGGCGGGGACUUUGAUCUUAUAUACACUUUUCAAAGUGUAUCUGCCAAUCAAAAAGUUAUGAAAUUCAGUUUAAGAUGGUCUAAAUUUUAAUGAUAUAGCUUGUUUCAAAUAAUGAUCUACAUUUGGUUUCGACUUUGGAAAAGUUUAUUUAAUUUAUACAAUACUCAAGUAUUAGCAGAUAGAGCUGAUCGUAUACUCUUUAGAUCUCCUUAGCACGGGCCAUUCCCCCUAGUUAACAGAAGAGAGUUGAGUUCAAAAUAGA